rnacentral:piRNA from 1 species
AAAGAAUCUGAUGACGCCUUAGCUGUG